GCGGUGCCACCGUGCACUGCGCACACGUGUAAACCCCAAAGGCGUAGACAACUCGAACAAGUUUGUACGGGGAUUACGGGCUCGGCACUGGCGCAAGCCUUCGUCGGGCCCCUCCAUCCCGGGGUGUCCCACCGAGCGGGCCUCCGGGUCCGCUGUGGGCAUCCCUCGAGUGCGUAGGAUGCGACCCGAAAGAUGGUGAACUAUGCCUGAUCAGGCCGAAGUCAGGGGAAACCCUGAUGGAGGGCCGAAGCAAUUCUGACGUGCAAAUCGAUUGUCAGAGUUGGGCAUAGGGGCGAAAGACCAAUC
rnacentral:rRNA from 1 species